UGCUCUAGCUUUGUUAGCCGUGCGGACAGCUGAUGAUGCAAGACUCUCCAAUGGGCUCAUUGGCAAUGGGGUACACCUGAUCAUUUCCUUGAAGAUAGCCUCGUUGUCAAGUGAAGACUCUGCUUCAAUGCAGAUUCGUGACAUGAUUUUUACCGCCAGCUCAGGAUAAGCACCAGCUGCACUCUCCCCACUUAACAUAACACAAUCAGUGCCAUCCAAGACAGCAUUAGCCACAUCAGUAGCCUCAGCACGGGUGGGUCGUGGAGACUUGAUCAUUGAU
rnacentral:lncRNA from 1 species